rnacentral:rRNA from 1 species
UACAGAGGUCCCAAGCGUUGUUCGGAUUCACUGGGCGUAAAGGGUGCGUAGGUGGCAUGGUAAGUUUGAUGUGAAAUCUCCGGGCUUAACCCGGAAAUGGCAUUGAAUACUACUGUGCUGGAGGUUUGGAGGGGGGACUGGAAUUCUCGGUGUAGCAGUGAAAUGCGUAGAUAUCGAGAGGAACACCAGUGGCGAAGGCGGCUCACUGGCCCGGUACUGACGCUGAGGCACGAAAGCGUGGGGAGCAAACAGG